GGAGGAUGCGAGCGUUAUCCGGAUUUAUUGGGUUUAAAGGGUGCGUAGGCGGAUCAAUAAGUCAGUGGUGAAAACCUUCAGCUUAGCUGGAGACUUGCCAUUGAUACUGUUAGUCUUGAGUACGGUCAAGGUAGGCGGAAUGUGUAAUGUAGCGGUGAAAUGCUUAGAUAUUACACAGAACACCGAUUGCGAAGGCAGCUUACUGGGCCAUUACUGACGCUGAUGCACGAAAGCGUGGGGAGCGAACAGGAUUAGAUACCCUGGUAGUCCACGCCGUAAACGAUGAUCACUCGCUGUUGGCGAUACACAGUCAGCGGCUAAGCAAAAGCAUUAAGUGAUCCACCUGGGGAGUACGGCCGCAAGGCUG
rnacentral:rRNA from 1 species